rnacentral:tRNA from 1 species
GCAAUGGUGGUUCAGUGGUAGACUUCUCACCUUCCAUGUGGGAGACCUAGGUUCGACUUCCAGCCAUUCCA